AAGAUAAAGACGUGGAUAAUGUAGGAGUAUUAUAAUAAAUGCAACAAUAAUAUAAUUGAUCAUAAAGUGAUCUUAACAAUAACUUAGGUAUAAAAUAACCUACUAACUUAUACAAGUCACUGUCUUAUAGGAUCAUCUACACAGAUGGUUUUCUCCAGAUCCCAGCCCUCAGUCAUAAAACAUAACUCAGUGAUUGAGUACAAAAUUGGUGCUCAAAACACUAAAUCUAGUAUUUUGAUUGGUUAAUGUCUGAGUCUGAGCUCAAAAUUCUUGUACUAGCGAGGUGAGAUAUAUAACUGAUUAUUGCCAUGGUCUACAUGCAUUUAUAAAAAUUCAAACAAGGGGACUAUAUAUUUUUAAAAAUACAUGAUUUCAAUAAAGGGUUAUAUAUCUAACCUGUAGACUUCUUAUUUUAUUUAUAUAGACCAUAUAAGACAGGGACUUGUAUAUUUCUAUUGAAUGAUUGAUACAAAUCUCAAAAAAAAAGGGACAUACUUGAACUUGACAGUAAAAAAACUAGCUACAAAAAAACUGAAAACAAGUAUUGGUAAAAACAAAAAAAAAUAACCGUUAAGCUUGGGUAAUCAAUACUGCAAAAAAGUGAAUUUUUCGCAUUAUUUUGUACCAUCAUUACUCUAAAUACAGAAACUUUUGUGAUGUUUUUUUAAUUAUUGUGACUAAUUAUUCUCCCUUUUUAGUCCAUUCUUCAUAAAUCAUAAUAAAAAGUACACAUAAUAGUUUCUAAAUAUACAGUAGUUUCUAUAGUUAUUUUUUUCAACAAUCGCCAAACAUUUGCAAUGUAAAAAAUAUCAAGUUUUUUUUUAUCUUAUAAUUUAAACAGAGACAAUAUGCUUAAAUAUACGUUGGUAUGUUAUACAAUGUAAAUAUAAUAAUAUACAAAAAAGAAAGAACCUAUGCUUGGCAAGUGUUUGGUUGGCAAAUUUCUAAAGUGGACCCCAUGGGUAUACAGGGUUGCACCUCCAGUUGUCUUGCCCAUUCUUUUCUCAAGCCAACAGAGGCUAAAACAAUAUUUACACCAAAAAUACUAGAUUAUUUAAUGGACACCUUUAUGUACCUAAAUUCUGUUCAUCAGUUUCCUAGCAAUCUUCUAAAUUUGUUAAAAGGAAAAAAUUCCCAAAGCUAAUGAAUUGGAAUCGUAUACUUUCAAUAAAAUAGGCAAUUAUGACAAAUUGAAAAUAAAUACAGUUUCCUAAGCCCAUAAGCAGACUUCUUCUCAUCAAAACCCCUCAAAAACAAAACAAUAAGGUUUACACCUUUUAACAAAAAAAAAUCACAAAGUACAUGUGUACUUAGUACAGGUAUAGGUACUACAUGUAUAUGGUAUAUAACACAGAUAAAACUAAAAGUGAAUAAAAUACUUCAAGCCUCCAGAGUUAUAACACAGCAAUCCUGGCUGUGGCAGUGUUUUCCCUAGAAUUUUAUUUGAAGAAAGAGGGAUUGACUUCAAGGACUAACUGGGAACUUAAAGAUGGAGUUUAAAUAAUGCUUGCAGACCCACUCAAAUGCAUAAACAUUUGAGGGAAAACACUUAAAGCCUGUUCAAUAUCUAGGAAAUUCAGGAAAUUUAAAAGGCUGAAAAUAAAUAUAACCUUAUCCCUAACAAAAACAUUAAAAUCCUAUACAAUAAACCAAACUUAUAAAACCAUUGCAUGUUAUAUGAUGUAUAUGAGAAAAUAAAAAAUUGCACCAAAUGAACAUAUGUUUACACAUAAAUAUUUAUACCUGAUAAUGAAUAUACAAAAAUACACAUGUAGUAAUAAUAAUUGACAGAUUUUACAUUUGUACAUUUACAGUAAAAAUAACACAUAUCUGGCCUAUACAUAGAAAUCUAUGGUUCUUUACACACUAUACACACAAAAUAUGAUCCUUGAAACACUAUACACAAAAAUAAAGAUUCUUACAUGCUUUACACAACAAGAGUGCACACGCUGAAAUGUCUCGCCUUCUUUACUAAUCAUUGAUAUUAUGUUGAUAGACCUAAAUAUAAAGCU
rnacentral:lncRNA from 1 species